rnacentral:rRNA from 1 species
CCUACGGGGUGCAGCAGUGGGGGAUAUUGCACAAUGGGGGAAACCCUGAUGCAGCGACGCCGCGUGGGUGAAGAAGCGCCUCGGCGCGUAAAGCCCUGUCAGCAGGGAAGAAAAUGACGGUACCUGAAGAAGAAGCCCCGGCUAACUACGUGCCAGCAGCCGCGGUAAUACGUAGGGGGCAAGCGUUAUCCGGAUUUACGGGGUGUAAAGGGGGCGCAGACGGCGAUGCAAGCCAGGAGUGAAAGCCCGGGGCCCAACCCCGGGACUGCUCUUGGAACUGCGUGGCGAGAGUGCAGGAGGGGCAGGCGGAAUUCCUGGUGUAGCGGUGAAAUGCGUAGAUAUCAGGAGGAACACCGGUGGCGAAGGCGGCCUGCUGGACUGCAACUGACGUUGAGGCCCGAAAGCGUGGGGAGCAAACAGGAUUAGAUACCCCAGUAGUC